rnacentral:rRNA from 1 species
GACGAACGCUGGCGGCGCGCCUAACACAUGCAAGUCGAGCGAUGAAAUUUUAACCGAUCUCUUCGGAGAGAAGAUAAAAUGGAUUAGCGGCGGACGGGUGAGUAACACGUGAGAAACCUGCCUUUCACAAGGGGAUAGCCUCGGGAAACCGGGAUUAAUACCCUAUGACACAUUUCCUUCGCAUGGAAGAAAUGUUAAAACUCCGGUGGUGAAAGAUGGUCUCGCGCCUGAUUAGCUAGUUGGUGGGGUAACGGCCCACCAAGGCCAUGAUCAGUAACCGGCCUUAGAGGGUGAACGGUCACAUUGGAACUGAGACACGGUCCAAACUCCUACGGGAGGCAGCAGUGGGGAAUAUUGCACAAUGGAGGAAACUCUGAUGCAGCGACGCCGCGUGAGCGAUGAAGGCUUUCGAGUCGUAAAGCUCUGUCCUAUGGGAAGAUAAUGACGGUACCAUAGGAGGAAGCCCCGGCUAACUACGUG